rnacentral:rRNA from 1 species
GCUCAUAUCGACGGGGAGGUUUGGCACCUCGAUGUCGGUUCGUCACAUCCUGGGGCUGGAGAAGGUCCCAAGGGUUCGGCUGUUCGCCGAUUAAAGUGGCACGUGAACUGGGUUCAGAACGUCGCAAGACAGUUCGGUCCCUAUCUGUGGUGGGCGCAAGUAAAUUGAGAGGACAUGACCUUAGUACGAGAGGACCGGGUCGUACGUACCGCUGGUGUAUCAGUUGUGCCGCCAGGUGCAAUGCUGAGUAGCUAUGUACGGACAGGAUAAACGCUGAAAGCAUCUAAGCGUGAAACCUUCCUCAAGAUGAGUUUACUUUUAAGGGCCGUCAGAGACUAUGACGUUGAUAGGCUAUAGGUGUAAAGCUGGUAACAGCAAAGCCGAGUAGUACUAAUUGCCCGUACGCUUUAAUUUU